rnacentral:lncRNA from 12 species
AUGGCUAAUUACAACUACACUGCAGCGGAGUUUUCUCCGAGUGACAUCUACAACACCAUCCUGGUCUACCUCAACACCUCCUCAGAUUCAACUCCUAAAUGCUAUAACACCUCCAACCCUGAUCUCAGCUCCACCGCCUGGUUCGCAGACUACAUCUCCGUCUUCUUGAGCUUCGUCACACUGGAUGACCUCCUCCAGUUUGGCUCCAUUCAGGUGUGUCAACUCACAACUUGAAGAGAUCUCAGAUCUGUUUUCUGUCGUCUGAAUCCGAUCACUCUUAACGGAAUAGUUCAUCUUCACUCUAAUGUCGUUCCAAACUCAACGUGUUUGUUUUUCAGCCGUUCCUCGUGAACCUGGAGAACCUGCAGCUCUUCGGUCAGACCAGCGUUCCUGAUGACGUCAUGGAGUACUACGUGACCCUGCUGUUCGAGGCGAAUCCGUCCUUCAGCGCCUACUAGUGAGAGACAUCAACAACACUCUCAAUAACCAAUCUCACACUGAAAAUAAAGCUUCCCAAAGCAGGUUUUCACAGUGAUGCCAUUUAAAAGAACCAUUUGGGUUUCCCAAAGAACCUUUCAGUUAACAGUUCUUAAUAGAACCAUCGUUUCUUAGUACAAAGAAUAUUUUAAGAACAUUUUUUCCAUUUUAAAGAAUCUUUUGUGCGAUGAAAAAGAUUCCAUAAAUGUGAAAGGUUCUUCAUGGAAUGGAUAAUAUCAAUAAAGAAGCUUAAUUUUUAAUAGUGUACAUGAAAAGUCAUUUAAAUCCAGCUAAGCCACUCUCAUCAAAUGAAGGCUUGUUCAAAUCUCACAUAACACAUUUAUUAACAAUACUAUCAUUUGAAAAAUCCCCCCUGAGAAGGUUGGUCUGGUUUGAUGGUUUUGGCCACUUGUCUGUUGGACCAUCUUAACUAUAGAUCAGUUUAGACCAGCAAACCAACCAAGGCUGCUUAAUGUGUGCUUGUGUUCACAGUCUUCCUCAGAAGUUCCUCUGCUUGGCUCCUGCGAGCUCCUUCCUUCAGCUGAGUCUGGAGCAGCUGAAGAACAUCUCAUCCAGCGUCCAUCAGAACUGCACAGAUGUUCUACCUGAUGUAUGUACUAGUGUGUGUGUUUAUAUCAGCAGAAGUAAGCUCUGUAUAAGCUAGACGUGUGUGUGUGUGUGUGUGUGCAGGUGUCGGCGGCUCUGGCCAGUAACGCAGGGGAUCUGACGGUGAGCGCCAUCGAGGCUCUGGGUCAGUCGUCCACGGGUUUGAGCACGGCUCAGAUCAGCGGCGCUGGAGGGAACUUGCUGCUCAACACGCUCUCCGUGCUCAGUCUCGUUCAGGACUGGAACCUCGAUCAGGCCAUGAUGAUCAUCCAAACCCUGUUGUCGUCUGGAGUUUACCAGGUACACACCACCAAUACCUCUCAAAGCCUUACGUGUCUCUGACUGAUGUUUCAUUCCUGAAUGAAUCAGUGGUGUUACACGAAUGGGUUCAAUCAAAGAUUCAUUGACUCACAUAUAAAGACUGUUACUUGUUUAAUUCCUGAAUGGAUCAGGGUUGUUGAAUAAACCGUGAUUCAGUGACUCACACACAGUAAUCUCUGCCAGUUUAAUUCCAGUAUGGA